GACAAGAACCGAGGUGUGGAGUCAGCCCUCAGCACAUGAGUAGGUGAAGAAUAUGUGCUAGAUAGCCAUGAUGUAAUGUUAUUUCACUUAAUAAGAUCCUGUUUUUUUGCAGCAACAGGCAAGGAUGAACCCAGAGGAGUGUGCGCUAAGCAAAAUAAUGCAGAUGCAGAAAUACAACUUCCUGCUUGUAUAAUCUCAUGUGCAUGUGGAAUCUAAAACAGUGGAGCUUAUAGCAGCAGGGAGUUGUAGGAAGGUUAACAGAAGCUGAGGGCUGACAGAGUUAGAGCUGAUGGAUAAAAUUGUUAGAGAGAAAGAAUCCAUUAUUGCUGUUAAGGUGAUAGAUAUGCUAAUUAGCUCGAUCCUUCCAUUCUACAUGGCACACAUAUAUCACAUCAUAGCACACUCCACUAUUAAUAUAGUAAGUUGGAGAAGUGGAGAGAGAAGGAAGAAGGAGGGGGAAGAGAAUGAAGAGAGAGAGAGAGACAGAGAGAGAGAGAGAGAGAGAGAGAGAGACAGAGAGACAGAGAGACAGAGAGAAAGAGAGACAGAGAGACUGAGGCCCUGAGGGGACGAAGAGUUGUCUGGGCGUGAAGUUGUUAGAAGUUUGAGUAAACAGAGAAAGAUCUCAUGUGUCCAGGGCUUCAAAGGCCUGAGAAGUUUAUCGGAGCCCAGGACCCACUGAAACUACACUGAGGUUCUUUCAGUGUUUUCUUUGUCAGUGUUAUUUUGCAUACAUUUAAACAUUUUUCUAUUAAAAAAUUUUACACAGUAAUAUAAUUGUUGCACCUUAUAUUGCCCUUUGCUUUUUUUUUUUUUCACUGUGACAGUGUUUUCAUCUGCUCUACCCAGGCCCCAGGGAGCUCAGUGUCUUACUAACAAGUUUAAAAAAAAACAAAACAAAACAAAACAACAACAACAACAGCAAUAAAAAAAACCUAGACAAAAACAAACAAAAACUCUAAAAAGGAUUGGAGGCGAUGGAUGUAUUGAUUAAGUGUUUUGGCUUAAAGAUUUCUCAAUGCAAAUAUUUACGGAAGCACUGCAUUAAACUUCUAUAAGUGGAUAGGAUGCCUUGUCGGGUAAACAGGCAAAACUGUCUGGAUUCUGAGCAGCAUGGCUGAGCAUCAGGCCCUGAACGUGGUCUGCUGCUGAACUCUCUGUGGUUGGCUUACCUGUUGGGAGAUGGCCAGAAGGUGUGGCGCUAUGGUCUAGACCUUAGAGUUUGUUUGUGAAUCCACCCUUCCAGUUGAUCUGGGUCACACCCACUCACACUGCUCUUCCUGGGCCAUGUAUUCUCAGGGAUUUUUCUUUUAUUUCUUUCCAGAGUGUGUUGAUGCCACUUAGUUGAGUGUUUUGUUUGGUUCUUGCUUUAAACAAAAGUUGUUUUUUUCUUUUUUUAACUUUUGUGGUUCAUCUCAAGUUGCUGGCUACCUAAGACAUGCUCAGCCCUCCAUCAGUAACGGAGGGAACCACUUCAGGUGAAGCAGAGGAAACCUGCAGGUACAAAUGGGAUCUUUAGGUGGGAUUAUUCUUUCUGGCUUGUAGAUCUGAGGGGACGUGUCAGAUCUGAGAGAGGGGAUUUGGCAAACUGUCAGGAUGUCCUGGAGGCUGGGCUGUGUGUCCCCAGAUUGCUGUGUUCUCUGGCCAUAGGAACCUGGAAGCUGUCGUGCCAGAUUGCAAUCUAGCACUUCACAGGCAGUAAAAGGGGCCCCUUUUUCUGCUGGUGACUUGAAGCUCCCCUUUGUUCUGGUGUGCCCUGGUCAUUCUGUAAACUGUCCAGACUGGCUGUGGAAGGACAUCUGAUACCUUGACGCUCCCAUACCUUUUGAUAUUUGUGUCUUUCCAUGAUAUGUCAUUCAUAUGGGCCUUUUUUCUAUAACAGAUGAUCUAUACAGCUAUCUUUAAGGGUCCUGGGAGACCCUCCAGACUUCUGGCCAAAGGUAGAAGAGUGCUGACAGUAUGUGCUGCCCCUCUCUACACAGGAGGACAUGGGAUUGAUCUGGGUGUGGCCUUUCCUGGGAUUCGGGCCCUGAAGCAGGAGGGACACAUUGUUCCAGGUACUUCCAAUGUACAUUCUGCCCCAGGGAGAUCAGAAUAUUUUGUUGGCUUUGGGGUUCAUUUUUUUUCCAGUAGGCAGGAUUGUUGUGGCCAAGUGUACCCACUGUGGGUGGCAUAGACAAGCUGUGCCAACAGGUUAUUUGUUAUCAGUGACAAGAAGAGGAAGGCAGCCAUUUGAGGGGCCUUCCCUUGCCCUGUUAAGAGUCUAGCUUCCCAAGUUUGUGGUCCAACAGACUUUAUAGGGGUUGCAUUUUUACAAAGGUCAAGUAUACCACAGCAAUGUGUCAUCUCAUUCGUCAUAGAAACCUGAUGUAGCAGAGGGUGAUCUUUCUGGUUUGACAGAUGUCAUAGAGUGUGACCUAGACAUAGAACCCAUGCUCAGGGUGAAAGUGAUGGUUGACGGUGCUGUGCAGUUCAGACAAGGUAUCUUUAGGUUCCCAUUUCGCAUGAGAAGACAGUCGCUGAUUGUUAUGGGUGCCAAGUACUUACGCAGAGGAACUUUCUUGGGGUUAUCUGCCCUAGGCACUGUAGAGCCUAAGGUCCCACUUCCACUUGUCCAGUGCUGAAGGGUCAGGUGCUAGACUAUACUGAAGAUAUCUCAAGUCUGUGAGAGAGUCUUUAAAAUAGUAAUCU
rnacentral:lncRNA from 1 species